AAGAAAGCUUGCUUUCUUUGCUGGCGACCGACGCACGGGUGAGUAACACGUAUCCAACCUACCCUUUACUCGGGGAUAGCCUUUCGAAAGAAAGAUUAAUACCCGAUAGCAUAAUGAUUCCGCAUGGUUUCAUUAUUAAAGGAUUCCGGUAAAGGAUGGGGAUGCGUUCCAUUAGGUUGUUGGUGGGGUAACGGCCCACCAAGCCUUCGAUGGAUAGGGGUUCUGAGAGGAAGGUCCCCCACAUUGGAACUGAGACACGGUCCAAACUCCUACGGGAGGCAGCAUG
rnacentral:rRNA from 1 species